UUCCCUCGUGAUUCUCAGGGGAAACAAAAGGAGAACAAGAGAGAGAGGGAAUUUUAGGCCAUGGCGGGGAAGGGAGUGGCCGUGGCGAUCUUUCUGGCCGUUGUCUUCUCAACGGCCACGCUCUCGCGAUCGGCGACCGUCGCGGCGCCGCCCUCGACCUCGCCGGCGCGCUCUCCCGUUGCCGCGCCUCCGCAUGGUAUCGUUCCCCAACUGCCUUCUCCCGCUCCUGGCGGCAGCGGCGGCGGUUCUUCUUCCUCCGACGGGCCCACGAUUCCGUCCACCUUGAGCCCCCCCAACCCAGACGCUGUGGGCUCUCCGACGUCGUCUCCGGCCAAGUCAUCCUCCGUCACGGAGACAUUCCCGAGACCCACUUACAUAACCUGGGGUAUCUUGUGCGUGGUCGUGUUUUUGCUGCCAGAAUGGCUUGUAUGAGGAAAUCGGAUUUUCAGUAGGGGAGAAUGAAUCUAGCCAGUACUGAGGGAUGGAGACUUGGGGCCAGGCUGGGCCGGUCCGGGUAGCAGCCUACAUGUCUGAAGAAAGGCGUUGGCCUGGGCCCAGUCAGGCUGGAUACUAUACAGUCUAUACUGCUGUCACCAGGUCAUACUGGGCACACUGAUUUUAACUACAGCAUGGCUCCAUUACUAUUCUUGCCCAUUGUCGGCUUAUUGGCGCUAUGGUCCAAUGUUGGCGGGGAUUGGCGGGGAUUGGGAACAAUGGCGGAGCCAGAAACUUUUGGCUGAUAAAUUUUAGACUCUUUGGAAAAACUUAGAGUUGAGAGAUACUCAUAUAUAAAUAACAAAAUGGUUGAGGGCACCAGUAUGUAAAUAAAACAAAAUUUGUGGGACCGUCUGGGCACAUGUAGCUCCGCCACUGCUUGUGGAAAAUAUAAUAUCCGUAUACAUAUUAUCAA